GGAUAAGCGCUGGAAACGGCGUCUAAUACUGGAUAUGUGACGUGACCGCAUGGUCUGCGUCUGGAAAGAAUUUCGGUUGGGGAUGGGCUCGCGGCCUAUCAGCUUGUUGGUGAGGUAAUGGCUCACCAAGGCGUCGACGGGUAGCCGGCCUGAGAGGGUGACCGGCCACACUGGGACUGAGACACGGCCCAGACUCCUACGGGAGGCAGCAGUGGGGAAUAUUGCACAAUGGGCGCAAGCCUGAUGCAGCAACGCCGCGUGAGGGACGACGGCCUUCGGGUUGUAAACCUCUUUUAGCAGGGAAGAAGCGAAAGUGACGGUACCUGCAGAAAAAGCGCCGGCUAACUACGUGCCAGCAGCCGCGGUAAUACGUAGGGCGCAAGCGUUAUCCGGAAUUAUUGGGCGUAAAGAGCUCGUAGGCGGUUUGUCGCGUCUGCUGUGAAAUCCGGAGGCUCAACCUCCGGCCUGCAGUGGGUACGGGCAGACUAGAGUGCGGUAGGGGAGAUUGGAAUUCCUGGUGUAGCGGUGGAAUGCGCAGAUAUCAGAGGAACACCGAUGGCGAAAGCAGAUCUCUGG
rnacentral:rRNA from 1 species